GUCUGCGCUUUGCUCGAAGAUGGCAGCUUGCUUUUCGUUUCGCUGUUUUCCCGCGGUUUCUCGGUCGUUUUUUCCGUUUUUCGUAAGUUGAACCUGUUGUUGCCUCUGGUGAACUUGUUGGUGGUUGUUUCUACGGUGGUAGAGCCAUCCGUUUCGGUGACGUCGGGUGGUGCCGUCGCUUUUGUACGACGCAGGAACGGUCGUCGUUCUUUGACUGCCUGUUGACAAUACAGACUUGAACGCGGCAGUUCAACAUUCGAUGUGAAGAUGUAAAGAAAUUAACAAAAUACUUUUUGGAAUUGUAAAAUAAAACAAGCAUA